AUUGAACGCUGGCGGCAGGCCUAACACAUGCAAGUCGAACGGCUGAAGGGGCCUUGCUCCUGGAUUCAGCGGCGGACGGGUGAGUAAUGCCUAGGAAUCUGCCUGGUAGUGGGGGAUAACGUCCGGAAACGGGCGCUAAUACCGCAUACGACCUGAGGGUGAAAGCGGGGGAUCUUCGGACCUCACGCUAUCAGAUGAGCCUAUGGCGGAUUAGCUAGUUGGUGGGGUAAAGGCCUACCAAGGCGACGAUCCGUAACUGGUCUGAGAGGAUGAUCAGUCACACUGGAACUGAGACACGGUCCAGACUCCUACGGGAGGCAGCAGUGGGGAAUAUUGGACAAUGGGCGAAAGCCUGAUCCAGCCAUGCCGCGUGUGUGAAGAAGGUCUUCGGAUUGUAAAGCACUUUAAGUGGGGAGGAAGGGCAGUAAGUUAAUACCUUGCUGUUUUGACGGUACCCGCAGAAUAAGCACCGGCUAACUUCGUG
rnacentral:rRNA from 1 species